CACGCCGUAAACGUUGGGCGCUAGGUGUGGGGAACCUUCCACGUUCUCCGUGCCGUAGCUAACGCAUUAAGCGCCCCGCCUGGGGNAUGCAACGCGAAGAACCUUACCUAGGCUUGACAUAUACCGAAAACUCAUAGAGAUAUGGGGUCCGCAAGGGCGGUAUACAGGUGG
rnacentral:rRNA from 1 species